GACGAACGCUGGCGGCGUGCCUAAUACAUGCAAGUAGAACGCUGAAGGAGGAGCUUGCUCUUCUGGAUGAGUUGCGAACGGGUGAGUAACGCGUAGGUAACCUGCCUGGUAGCGGGGGAUAACUACUGGAAACGAUAGCUAAUACCGCAUAACAGUAGAUGUUGCAUGACAUUUACUUAAAAGGUGCAAUUGCAUCACUACCAGAUGGACCUGCGUUGUAUUAGCUAGUUGGUGGGGUAACGGCUCACCAAGGCGACGAUACAUAGCCGACCUGAGAGGGUGAUCGGCCACACUGGGACUGAGACACGGCCCAGACUCCUACGGGAGGCAGCAGUAGGGAAUCUUCGGCAAUGGACGGAAGUCUGACCGAGCAACGCCGCGGGAGUGAAGAAGGUUUUCGGAUCGUAAAGCUCUGUUGUAAGAGAAGAACGAGUGUGAGAGUGGAAAGUUCACACUGUGACGGUAUCUUACCAGAAAGGGACGGCUAACUACGUG
rnacentral:rRNA from 1 species